CCUACGGGAGGCAGCAGUGGGGAAUAUUGCACAAUGGGCGCAAGCCUGAUGCAGCCAUGCCGCGUGUGUGAAGAAGGCCUUCGGGUUGUAAAGUACUUUCAGCGGGGAGGAAGGUGUUGCGGUUAAUAACCACAGCAAUUGACGUUACCCGCAGAAGAAGCACCGGCUAACUCCGUGCCAGCAGCCGCGGUAAUACGGAGGGUGCAAGCGUUAAUCGGAAUUACUGGGCGUAAAGCGCACGCGGGCGGUCUGUCAAGUCGGAUGUGAAAUCCCCGGGCUCAACCUGGGAACUGCAUUCGAAACUGGUAGGCUAGAGUCUUGUAGAGGGGGGUAGAAUUCCAGGUGUAGCGGUGAAAUGCGUAGAGAUCUGGAGGAAUACCGGUGGCGAAGGCGGCCCCCUGGACAAAGACUGACGCUCAGGUGCGAAAGCGAGGGGAGCAGACAGGAUUAGAUACCCUGGUAGUC
rnacentral:rRNA from 1 species